rnacentral:lncRNA from 1 species
AAUUCCACUAACUUGUACGGGUCUCAGUUUCCUCACCGGGCCCCAGCAUAGGUCUGAGGGUCUGAGGUCUGUCGGUCUGAGGGUCCUAGGGAAAUCCAGCCACUCAGGAGCCUGAGAUAUUUUAGCAUCGUGGCUGGGCCCCCUCUCCCAGGGGACUCAUUUCCCAGCACCCUCUCCACUGUCUCCGCCCCAUUCCUCGGAGAAGAAAAAAAUUUUCUUUCUUUUGUUAAUACUUCCUGAAACUUUUGCAGGUACAGAAACCACAAACUGAUCGGCUGACAAAAAGGGGAAGAGGAGAGGCAACCAGAAACCUUCGGGGACUGGUUCCCUCCAUGCCCAGGUCUCUUCUCCCCAGCACAGCUCAGCCCACAGCCUGGAAGUGCCAGCGGGGACCUUCACCCUACACGCAUCAGGAUAUGGCCUUGAUCCCUUCCCCCACAGCCCGGUGUCUCAGUCCUGCCAAGGAACCAAAGCAAGAGGAGGUGGGGAAAAAACCCUGCUGCCUGAUCCCACGCUGCCACUCACAGACCCUCGGUUGACUGGCAGCACUGAACAGGUUAAAAAAAAAAAAGAUGAAAACACAGAAAAACCCAACACCCAGACGGGGAGACCAUGUGUGGAGAGAGCGUGCUGGGAGCCUCAGUAGCCGGUCUCCUCCUGGUAGUAAGGGGCCUCCCCUGGCCCUGGGCAGUUGCCGGCGGAGGGAGCCCCGUGGGCCACUGGGCCACCUGGCUAGUACUUGGGUUCGUAUAUUUGCCGGCCUAGGCCAAAGACCUGGCCGCUGUGAUUGGCAACCUAAUUUAAAAUUGUUUUUAGAUUAUAAGGAAGCUGCAUGUUAAAAAUUGAGCUGUAUAAGAAAGAGGAAAUAUAGUGAAAACUUUGGGGUUUUAAUCUGUGCAUGUGAGAGAGAGUGAGAAAUAUAGUGUUUUCAUUGUGUAUGCAUUAAACUGUCUUGCUAAAACUCAGAUCUAAGAUUGUUAAGUAGAUAUUUGGGGAACUUUUUUAUCACUUUAAAUGAAAAAUUUCAGCCUUACUGGGCAUUCUGGAAGCAAAAUAUGUUAUGCUGAUGAUAAAGUGAGAACCUUAAGAAUACACUCAUUUGAUGGCGGAAAAUGUGAUGGACCAAAAUGCAGAAGCUAUACACGUCCUGUGAGUAGUAAUUUUAGUUACAAUGCAGUAGGAAAAUGUGGCGCAUUUAAACAUUUCUUCUACCUCAUAAUGGCUUUGCAAGAUACUUGUAAAGAAGCAAAUGUCUAGAGCCUUACUUUAAGAAAGUUAAACAACUUUGGUGAAUGAUUUGGAUUAAGAUUGUUACAUCCAGCUAUAGAAAUGUGGUUUCAAUAGGGUUGAUGUGAGUGAGUACCUUCCUUUUUUGAAUACCACUUAAAACAGUUAACUUUUUAAGUCUUGAAGAUGAGAAAAAUAUUGCUUAUCUAAUAUAACUAUUUUAAUAGUUAUCUAAUUUAUAGUUAUCUACUAUAACUAUACAUUCUGAAUACUUAGCAUGUACUGUGCUGGGGCACAUAUCUUAUUUUCCCAGCUGCUAAACGAUUAUCUUCCUUCUCUCCCUGGUAUUUUAAUGCCCAAGUAGAAAAUGGAAAAUCAUGAAGGAAAAAUAUCACUUGUGAAAAUCGUGGCAGUUAGCUUUAUGAAGACACAGUGGCCUCUGUGGGGACAUGGGAUAUGCAGAAAGAGAUGGCUAGUACAGUUGUUCUGUCUUCUGCAGUUCAGUCAGGGACAUAUUGAGAGAGGAAAGUUUAAGCAGGUACAUUAGAAAUUGAUAACCAGCCCAGCAUUCUUAGAACAGAUGGGUUUAGAGAACACGAGUUGUAGUUCCUUGGCAGAAUGCCAUGGUGGAUAUGAGAAACUGUGAACUGUGUUGAAAUUGAGCUUGAGCAGAAAAUGAGAAUACUAAAAAUUUGAAGUUCAGAGGGUAUGCAUUAGAUUAUUUCUAAUGGUCCCCAUAUAUGAUCAUUGCCUGCCUGACUAUAUAAGACUCCUGUUGGGAGCUUGAGAACAGAUUGCUGAGCUUAGCCCUUUGGAGACUCUGGUAUGCUGUGUCUGGGAUGGAGUCUGCAAAAAAAAAUUUAAAGAAGAGACUUAAAAAUUAUACAAAACUAGAAUAGUGCUUUGGUACUAUCAGAUUACUUGGGGGCUAUUCCCACUUCGAUUCUUCAUAUAGAGGAUGUGAACAGAGAAACAUGCAGAUAAAUCAGUCAAUGCCAACUGCUGGGGGAAACGUCCAUAGU